GACGAACGCUGGCGGCGUGCUUAACACAUGCAAGUCGAACGGAAAGGCCCUGCUUUUGUGGGGUGCUCGAGUGGCGAACGGGUGAGUAACACGUGAGUAACCUGCCCUUGACUUUGGGAUAACUUCAGGAAACUGGGGCUAAUACCGGAUAGGAGCUCCUGCUGCAUGGUGGGGGUUGGAAAGUUUCGGCGGUUGGGGAUGGACUCGCGGCUUAUCAGCUUGUUGGUGGGGUAGUGGCUUACCAAGGCUUUGACGGGUAGCCGGCCUGAGAGGGUGACCGGCCACAUUGGGACUGAGAUACGGCCCAGACUCCUACGGGAGGCAGCAGUGGGGAAUAUUGCACAAUGGGCGGAAGCCUGAUGCAGCAACGCCGCGUGCGGGAUGACGGCCUUCGGGUUGUAAACCGCUUUCGCCUGUGACGAAGCGUGAGUGACGGUAAUGGGUAAAGAAGCACCGGCUAACUACGUGCCAGCAGCCGCGGUGAUACGUAGGGUGCGAGCGUUGUCCGGAUUUAUUGGGCGUAAGGGCUCGUAGGUGGUUGAUCGCGUCGGAAGUGUAAUCUUGGGGCUUAACCCUGAGCGUGCUUUCGAUACGGGUUGACUUGAGGAAGGUAGGGGAGAAUGGAAUUCCUGGUGGAGCGGUGGAAUGCGCAGAUAUCAGGAGGAACACCAGUGGCGAAGGCGGUUCUCUGGGCCUUUCCUGACGCUGAGGAGCGAAAGCGUGGGGAGCGAACAGGCUUAGAUACCCUGGUAGUCCACGCUGUAAACGGUGGGUACUAGGUGUGGGGUCCAUUCCACGGGUUCCGUGCCGUAGCUAACGCUUUAAGUACCCCGUCUGGGGAGUACGGCCGCAAGGCUAAAACUCAAAGGAAUUGACGGGGCCCCGCACAAGCGGCGGAGCAUGCGGAUUAAUUCGAUGCAACGCGUAGAACCUUACCUGGGUUUGACAUGGAUCGGGAGCGCUCAGAGAUGGGUGUGCCUCUUUUGGGGUCGGUUCACAGGUGGUGCAUGGCUGUCGUCAGCUCGUGUCGUGAGAUGUUGGGUUAAGUCCCGCAACGAGCGCAACCCUUGUUCACUGUUGCCAGCACGUUAUGGUGGGGACUCAGUGGAGACCGCCGGGGUCAACUCGGAGGAAGGUGGGGAUGACGUCAAGUCAUCAUGCCCCUUAUGUCCAGGGCUUCACGCAUGCUACAAUGGCUGGUACAGAGAGUGGCGAGCCUGUGAGGGUGAGCGAAUCUCGGAAAGCCGGUCUCAGUUCGGAUUGGGGUCUGCAACUCGACCUCAUGAAGUCGGAGUCGCUAGUAAUCGCAGAUCAGCAACGCUGCGGUGAAUACGUUCCCGGG
rnacentral:rRNA from 1 species